rnacentral:misc_RNA from 1 species
UCUCCGUUGGUGAACCAGCGGAGGGAUCAUUACCGAGUUUACACUCCCAAACCCAUGUGAACAUACCUAUCGUUGCUUCGGCGGGACCGCCCCGGUGCCAUGCGCGCCGGAACCAGGCACCCGCCGCAAGAACCUAAACUCUUGUUUUAUUCAGUAUUCUUCUGAGUGGCCGCAAGGCAAUAAAUAAAUUAAAACUUUCAACAACGGAUCUCUUGGCUCUGGCAUCGAUGAAGAACGCAGC